rnacentral:lncRNA from 1 species
AGCCUCUUUCAGUUUUAUUUCUAUGCAUAACAAAAUGGCAUUAUGCGAUGGCUUGUGUUUUUUUUUUUGUUUUUUUCUUUUUCUAUAAAGGUCUAGGUAGCAAAUGUUUCAGGCUUUGUGGGCCAUACAGUUUGUUGCAACUCUGUUGUUCUAGCAUGAAAACAGCCAUAGACAACACAUAAACAAAUGAGUGUGGCUGUGUUUCAAUAAAACUUUAUUUACAAAAACAGGAUGGACAUUCAUUUGGCUUGUGGGUGUGUUUCCUGACUCCUGUCUUAUAGCACGGUUUCUUUUUUAGAGCUCACUAAGAUCCCAUUGUAUGUCUACUCUGCAAUUUUUAUUCUCUUAACCUUGAAUAUUUAGUUCAUUUCCAUUUUUUAAUAUUACAGAGAAUCACUGCAAGUAAUAUCUGUGCAUCUUUGUCUCCCCUGUCCACCCCCAAGAUAAAUUUCUAAAAGUGUAUUGAUGGGCCAUGGGUUUUGCCUAAUUUUUAGAGCUUGCGACUCAAAUUGCCCAGUGGCCCUUCAGGAAGUACAGGAGAGGGCUGCCCACUUCUUGCAUCUUUGCCAAAACUGGGUAUUAAAAUUCCUUUUAAUCUUUGUCAAUAUACUUUGUCAAUAUACUUUUUUUUU